GGGGUUGUGGCUCAGAGGGAGAGCACUCGCCUCGCCUGCGUGAGGCACUGGGUUCGGUCCUCAGCCCCA
rnacentral:tRNA from 1 species